UACUACAAAUUUACAGUAACCAAAACAUCAUGGUACUGGCAUUAAAAAAGAAAAGAAAAAGAAAAAGAAACAUAGACCAAUGAAAUACAAUAGAGAACUCAGAAACAAAUCCAUAUAUUACAGUAAGCUCAUUUUCAACAGAGGUGCCAAGAACAUACAUUGGGAAAAGGACAGUCUCUUAAAAAAAUGGUGCUGGAAAAACUGGAUACCUGUAUGCAGAAAAUGAAACAAGACCCCUAUCUCUUGCCAUAUAGAAAAAUCAAGUAAAAAUGGAGUAAAGACUUAAAUCUAAGACCUCAAAUUAUGAAACUGCUAAAAGAAAACAUUGGAGAAACUCUCUAGGACAUUGGAGUGGGCAAAGAUUUCUUGAUUAAUACCCUACAAAGCACAGGCAUCCAAAGCCAAAAUGAACAAAUAGGAUCACAUCAAGUUAAGAAGCUUCUGCACAGCAAAGGAAACAAUCAACAAAGUGAAGAGACAACCCACAGAAUGGGAGAAAAUAGCGGCAAACUACCCAUCCGACAAGGGAUUAAUAACCAGAAUAUACUCAGCCCAAGUCUCCAUGUCCAUCACCUGGGACACUGUCUGAGGAACUCUGUGAAGAGAGUCUUUUCCACAGAGAAAUGAGAGCACCCUCAGACCUUUUCCUCUAAAUGAAGUGCUUGCUAAAUGAGGAAUGGGACUUUCCAACAUCUUUUGUAAAGGAUAAAGUUAUGCUGCAAAGGCUGUGACUUCAGUCUUCGUCUCGAGUCUGGCUGUGGGCUGAGUCACAUGCACCUGCCCAUCAUCCUCACUGGCUUCUUGGCAACUCACUUUUAUUUUGUCUGCAAACCACCUUCAGGAGCUUGAGUGGAGGAGACAGAACAAGGAUUGAGGAAAGAGGCAUUGUGAUUCUGAACAGAUGUUUUUCCACUUGGGAACCUACAGAUAAGGCCCAGUAGUCAAAGUGCACCCAAAAAUGGCAAGAUCCAACCUUAUACCGUUCCCAUCUUCCUGCCUGUUUGGCCUCAGAGAAGCUUGACUGAGCCCCUUGUAGAAGCACCGAAUCUCCUCCACUUGUUGCCAGGGAUGUUACUGUCUGGGGAGAUAAACACUAGGGAGAUUUACGAGCAGGCAGUGCUGGUGGAAUUCAGCGGGCUGUCAGCAAAUGGCAAACUGGAAGCCCUGCUGGGUCUGGUUUUGAACUUACUCUUCAGCUGUGAUGUAAGAGUGGCCGUGCCCCUUCUUGGGGUAACCAUAGAUGAAGUGAGCAUCUUCUCUUGGCAUCUUGUAGGGUCAGGGCACAGGACACCUAACAGAAGAAGCAUGUGGGCAUUGUUAAUGCAUCCAAAGCCACCCUGUUCAUUGUCUCAUAAAGACCCACAACAGCAUCCUCACUAGAUGACCAAUAUCCACAGUCAGGACCCUUUGGUUUCUCUCUGUGAGGAGAUUUGCACCUGCUUCUUUCAUUGAUAUCAAGGGCUUUGACAAUAGCUCAGGUUUCUAACCCCUCCUACUAAUUAAAGUUCAAAGAAGAAACUACAAACGAAAGCAAAAAGACUCAAAAUUAUUUGGUGAAAAAAUGUUCCUCAUGUGCCUUCAGUUUGACUCUGCACCAUAAACUUCUAGAGAAACAAACAAAAUGCAUUUUUACUGAUUCUCCACCUUCCCUGGCCCAGGGCUGUGGCUAAUAAGAGGAGUUAUUUUUCUCCAAAGUUAUUAUUGGAUAUCAGUCCACAGACAGACAGAGGCUAUGAUACAUAAUGUGUGUUUCCCAGAGCACCUGUUGCCUGUGCCUCGCGAGUGUGCAUGAGGUUGAGCGCUGAGCACAGCAUCUUCUAGCCCAGCUUUUCAGCAAAGGAGACCACCCCACACAGGGGCUUCAGCUUGUCCCCAGGCACUCCACCCAAAACAAGCUGAGGAAGCCCAGGACCUGACUUUAUCUAACAAUGUGUUUCCCUUCCUACUUAAGUCAAUUUCUGCUUCUCUCUGAUUCGAGUCCCUUGGCUAGCAUUUUUUUAAAAAUUAUAACAUAUACAAAUGAACAACAAUAAAAACCGACCAUAAGCG